GAUGAACGCUGGCGGCGUGCCUAAUACAUGCAAGUCGAGCGAACGGACGAGAAGCUUGCUUUUCUGAUGUUAGCGGCGGACGGGUGAGUAACACGUGGAUAACCUACCUAUAAGACUGGGAUAACUUCGGGAAACCGGAGCUAAUACCGGAUAAUAUUUUGAACCGCAUGGUUCAAAAGUGAAAGACGGUCUUGCUGUCACUUAUAGAUGGAUCCGCGCUGCAUUAGCUAGUUGGUAAGGUGACGGCUUACCAAGGCAACGAUGCAUAGCCGACCUGAGAGGGUGAUCGGCCACACUGGAACUGAGACACGGUCCAGACUCCUACGGGAGGCAGCAGUAGGGAAUCUUCCGCAAUGGGCGAAAGCCUGACGGAGCAACGCCGCGUGAGUGAUGAAGGUCUUCGGAUCGUAAAACUCUGUUAUUAGGGAAGAACAUAUGUGUAAGUAACUGUGCACAUCUUGACGGUACCUAAUCAGAAAGCCACGGCUAACUACGUG
rnacentral:rRNA from 1 species